rnacentral:rRNA from 1 species
GACGAACGUUGGCGGCGUGCUUAACACAUGCAAGUCGAACGGAAAGGCCCUGCUUUUGUGGGGUGCUCGAGUGGCGAACGGGUGAGUAACACGUGAGUAACCUGCCCUUGACUUUGGGAUAACUUCAGGAAACUGGGGCUAAUACCGGAUAGGAGCUCCUGCUGCAUGGUGGGGGUUGGAAAGUUUCGGCGGUUGGGGAUGGACUCGCGGCUUAUCAGCUUGUUGGUGGGGUAGUGGCUUACCAAGGCUUUGACGGGUAGCCGGCCUGAGAGGGUGACCGGCCACAUUGGGACUGAGAUACGGCCCAGACUCCUACGGGAGGCAGCAGUGGGGAAUAUUGCACAAUGGGCGGAAGCCUGAUGCAGCAACGCCGCGUGCGGGAUGACGGCCUUCGGGUUGUAAACCGCUUUCGCCUGUGACGAAGCGUGAGUGACGGUAAUGGGUAAAGAAGCACCGGCUAACUACGUGCCAGCAGCCGCGGUGAUACGUAGGGUGCGAGCGUUGUCCGGAUUUAUUGGGCGUAAAGGGCUCGUAGGUGGUUGAUCGCGUCGGAAGUGUAAUCUUGGGGCUUAACCCUGAGCGUGCUUUCGAUACGGGUUGACUUGAGGAAGGUAGGGGAGAAUGGAAUUCCUGGUGGAGCGGUGGAAUGCGCAGAUAUCAGGAGGAAUACCAGUGGCGAAGGCGGUUCUCUGGGCCUUUCCUGACGCUGAGGAGCGAAAGCGUGGGGAGCGAACAGGCUUAGAUACCCUGGUAGUCCACGCUGUAAACGGUGGGUACUAGGUGUGGGGUCCAUUCCACGUGUUCCGUGCCGUAGCUAACGCUUUAAGUACCCCGCCUGGGGAGUACGGCCGCAAGGCUAAAACUCAAAGGAAUUGACGGGGCCCCGCACAAGCGGCGGAGCAUGCGGAUUAAUUCGAUGCAACGCGUAGAACCUUACCUGGGUUUGACAUGGAUCGGGAGUGCUCAGAGAUGGGUGUGCCUCUUUUGGGGUCGGUUCACAGGUGGUGCAUGGCUGUCGUCAGCUCGUGUCGUGAGAUGUUGGGUUAAGUCCCGCAACGAGCGCAACCCUUGUUCACUGUUGCCAGCACGUUAUGGUGGGGACUCAGUGGAGACCGCCGGGGUCAACUCGGAGGAAGGUGGGGAUGACGUCAAGUCAUCAUGCCCCUUAUGUCCAGGGCUUCACGCAUGCUACAAUGGCUGGUACAGAGAGUGGCGAGCCUGUGAGGGUGAGCGAAUCUCGGAAAGCCGGUCUCAGUUCGGAUUGGGGUCUGCAACUCGACCUCAUGAAGUCGGAGUCGCUAGUAAUCGCAGAUCAGCAACGCUGCGGUGAAUACGUUCCCGGGGCU